CCUACGGGAGGCAGCAGUGGGGAAUAUUGCACAAUGGGGGAAACCCUGAUGCAGCGACGCCGCGUGAGUGAAGAAGUAUCUCGGUACGUAAAGCUCUAUCAGCAGGGAAGAAAAUGACGGUACCUGACUAAGAAGCUCCGGCUAACUACGUGCCAGCAGCCGCGGUAAUACGUCGGGGGCAAGCGUUAUCCGGAUUUACUGGGUGUAAAGGGAGCGUAGACGGCAGUACAAGUCUGGAGUGAAAGCCCGGGGCUUAACCCCGGAACUGCUUUGGAAACUGUGCGGCUGGAGUGCAGGAGGGGUAGGCGGAAUGCCUGGUGUAGCGGUGAAAUGCGUAGAUAUUAGGAGGAACACCGGUGGCGAAGGCGGCUUACUGGACUGUAACUGACGUUGAGGCUCGAAAGCGUGGGGAGCAAACAGGAUUAGAUACCCGGGUAGUC
rnacentral:rRNA from 1 species